CGCGCAUGAAUGGAUUAACGA
rnacentral:ncRNA from 3 species